GAGAUAAAGAAGAUGAACCCAGG
rnacentral:snRNA from 1 species